rnacentral:rRNA from 1 species
GAUGAACGCUGGCGGCGUGCCUAAUACAUGCAAGUCGAGCGAACAGACGAGGAGCUUGCUCCUCUGACGUUAGCGGCGGACGGGUGAGUAACACGUGGAUAACCUACCUAUAAGACUGGGAUAACUUCGGGAAACCGGAGCUAAUACCGGAUAAUAUAUUGAACCGCAUGGUUCAAUAGUGAAAGACGGUUUUGCUGUCACUUAUAGAUGCAUCCGAGCCGCAUUAGCUAGUUGGUAAGGUAACGGCUUACCAAGGCAACGAUGCGUAGCCGACCGGAGAGGGGGAUCGGCCACACUGGAACGGAGACGCGGUCCAGACUCCUACGGUAGGCAGCAGUAGGGAAUCUUCCGCAAUGGGCGAAAGCCUGACGGAGCAACGCCGCGUGAGUGAUGAAGGUCUUCGGAUCGUAAAACUCUGUUAUUAGGGAAGAACAAAUGUGUAAGUAACUAUGCACGUCUUGACGGUACCUAAUCAGAAAGCCACGGCUAACUACGUG